GGAAAAAACAAGCAUUCAGAAUAGUUCCUCAGUUGAUGAUGCAUGAUGAUGGGUCAUGACUUAUUUUUGUUAAAGCUUUAAACAUUAAGGUGGUUAUGAAUGGUCCUUUUUCCAACAUAAUCUACAACCUUGUUGGUCUACUUGUCCAGAGUGAAUACAUUUGUAGCCAAAUCAUUUCGUCUGGAGGUCCUUCAUUUACAACACUAUGUUCCACACCACUCCACUCAUCAGCAGUCCAAACAUGACUUUCAUGGAACAUUUAGAACUCAAAAGAACACCCUGGUAACAUCGGUUUAUGAUAGAGAAAUUGUUAUUGAUGAUAGAGGACAUUGUUUUUGUAUUUUAAUCUGCUUGCUUAUCCUGUUUGCUGAGGCCUACUCUCCUGUCUGCUCAUGAAACAUAUAGGCUGGAGUUUGUUCAUGACAUUUGGUUGUGACACACUUCCUCUUUUGCAAAAGAUAAAGCGCUGGUUUAAUUCGGAUUUCUGGUCUCUGUCUCAUUUAUGUUAACAUCUUAAUAUCAUUUAUCUAACAGUUUAGUACAGCUAAAGACAGUAUGGGUGUACACAGUAAGGCACAGAACUGAGGCAGUAUUCCAUGUGUCAUAGGAUCAUAUGCAUUGGAUGUAGGGCUACUACAUAUUCACGGACAAGAUGACAGUGUCAGAGGUCAUGAUUCUCGUCAAAAGAAGUCAAGCAAGUAAAUUAUUACCAAUUGACAAGAAGUACCAGGAAAUUCAGCACAUAUGUGCUUAGCUGUUAUUCAGCAUACUUCACAUUUCACAGACUUGGAAUAUUUCCUGCUUGCUGACUUUUGACUUUUUUGGCUGUCUGGAGUGACGUGCCUUACCCAUCGGCCCAACCCAUUAUCAGUAUCAAACCAAACAAAGCACAAUGCUAUGCAAAAGUCAAGGAACAUGUCUAUCUUUCUGGCUGUUUGAAAACACAAACAAAGCUUUGCACGGACCCCGACUCUUAACCCGGUUUUAAUGAGCGCAACCUUGGAAGUGCCUUUGUAACGCCUCUGUUUGGCAGUCCGGCCCCCCUCAGAGCCGGGGCAUGCCGGGGAGGGUGUAAAAGGACUGUGGCUCGUUCCAGUUAGGCCUUAGACCUACAGGAGCGCACACACAAGACACACAAGUGUUGUUCCUCCCUAACCUGUUUGCCUUUUAAAGAAUCCUGCCAAAAUGUUGUCGCGGACACUUGUUGUUUCCUUGCUUUUUGCUGUAGCUGGUGUUGUUUUAUCUGCACCAGUGAAAGCUCUCGUCACUGCCUCCCCUGCAACGAGCUUGUAAUCAGAGCCCAGGUCUCUCUGAAAGACACAAAAUAGUUUGGUUCCCUUGUGCAUUCCAUAGGAGGACCUUUCAGGCAGCAUCUCACCAAACAUGGCUAACAUGUCCUCUCUCUUUCUCUUUUUCUCUCUCUCUCUCUCUCACCCUCUCUCUCUCUCUCCCCCCCCCAUGAUAUUGUCAUAUAGAUGGACAAGACUCAGAUGAACCAGGCAGUGAGACCGCAUCAAGCUCAGAGACCACCGAGGAUACAUCAGAGUCCACCUCAAAAGAUGAAGACGAUGAUACUGACACCACAUCUGAGGAGGAUACAUCAGAGUCCCUCUCAAAAGUAAAAAAACGUGAUGGUCUGACCCCUAGAAGUCCAGCCCAAAAAGACUCAGGAAUCACAGAUGGGAAAGACUCAGCUGAGGACGUUACAGGUGCAGACUCAGCUGACACCACAAAUCAGCCAGACAAGAGCUCAGAAGAGGAGUCAGACGCUGGGGACAAAGACCAAAAGGCCAAAGACAAAGACGCUGAAAUGAAGGGCGAAGACAAAAAAGCCCAAGACAAAGACGCCAAAGCCAAGAGCUCCGGCAGCCAGGAGGCAGGGGCCUCCACCAAAGAAGAUGGAGACGAAGACGACAUUAAGAGCAGCCAGGAGAUGCACGACAGCGCCAGCCAAGACUCCGAGUACGCCACCAAGGAGGAGAGUGAGGAGGAGAAGAGCGCUGAGUCAUCGGACGAUAAAGAGAGCAAGAACGCCAGCAAGAAAGACAAAGCCAGCAUGGAGGACAAAUCAGAAGAGGAUGCAGACAAAGUUGACUAGAGGAUACAUCAGAGUCCAUCUCAAAAGAGGAAAGCAUGGAGAAGAGCACUGAGGCAGAUUCCACAAGUAAGGACUGACUGGAAGUUUUAACACCUCCUGUAAUUCAGCAUGGCAACAUCGUGGACAUGAUGUCUGUCAGGGUUUUUGGACUGCUAUACCCUUCAUGACCCUGUGGGGUCCUCAGUGUUCCUGUUUUGUCUUUCACAUGUGUGUUGGCUUUAUUGUUUCAUUGAGUUCACCUGUGCCUUGUUUGUUACCCUUUAUAAGCCACCUGAUUUUCUGUGUGUUUGCAGAGUCUUGAAACUGACACCCUACGGUUAGGUUGAGUAAGUUGCGCUGAGAAUCGCUGCCUUUGAUGCUAACUGUGUGGAAACUUCUGCCUGACUCAAGUAAAGAAACCUUUUUUGAUUGCACCCAAGCAAGUCGUCUGUCUCUGUCUCUGCAUCUGAGUCAUCACCCUCUCGUAGCACAGUGGUAGGCAAUCCGCCUACUACGCUGGAGUCCCGACUGACCCUUAUAGUGUCAACACCAAACUAGGUCCCAAAGAAAUCUUACUGUUGAUCAUAUAGUGAUAUGUAAUAAUUGAUUGCUUUAGAGUCUGCCACCUCAAAGCUAUGAUCUUAAUUACUACUAUUACUACUACUAUUAAAUAAAAACUAUUCAGAUGUUCCUAAAAGCCGUUUAAUAAGACGCAAGUCUUUGGAGCUCUCACAUCGGACUAGUUAAUGUGGUCCUUUUAUUUUAUUUAGUCGACUAAUUUGAGUAUUUGUCUUUCGGAAAAGUUUAAUUUAUAUUUAUUUAGUAUUGUUAUUGUUUUUACUGCCUUUGGUCUUAUUUGGGUGAAAUAAAACCCCAUCUUUUC
ensembl:lncRNA